rnacentral:rRNA from 1 species
UACAGAGGUCUCAAGCGUUGUUCGGAUUCAUUGGGCGUAAAGGGGUGCGUAGGCGGCGCGGUAAGUCGGGUGUGAAAUCUUGGAGCUUAACUCCGAAACUGCAUUCGAUACUGCCGUGCUUGAGGACUGGAGAGGAGACUGGAAUUUACGGUGUAGCUGGUGAAAUGCGUAGAUAUCGUAAGGAAGACCAGUGGCGAAGGGCGGG